GUUGGAGGACCAAGAAGGUUGAGUCUGUGAAGCCAGACUUUGCUGAUACUCUCCUCCUAGACAAAUGGGUGGAGAGACCAGCCCUUAUCUGUGAAAACCACAGGGCCAACUCACGGUCCAACAUUU